rnacentral:misc_RNA from 1 species
GAUGAAGAACGUAGCGAAAUGCGAUAAGUAAUGCGAAUUGCAGAAUUCAGUGAGUCAUCGAAUCUUUGAACGCACAUUGCGCCCCUUGGUAUUCCAUGGGGCAUGCCUGUUCGAGCGUCAUUUGUACCCUCAAGCUUUGCUUGGUGUUGGGCGUCUUGUCGUAUUACGACUCGCCUUAAAUACAUUGGCAGCCGGCACUUUGGCCUAGGAGCGCAGCACAUUUUGCGAUCGUAGCCCGUUGUACUGGCGUCCAUCAAGAACAUUUACCACGUUUGACCUCGGAUCAGGUAGGGAUACCCGCUGAACUUAAGCAUAUCAAUAAGCGGAGGA